GAUGAACGCUGGCGGCGUGCCUAAUACAUGCAAGUCGAGCGAACAGACGAGGAGCUUGCUCCUCUGACGUUAGCGGCGGACGGGUGAGUAACACGUGGAUAACCUACCUAUAUGACUGGGAUAACUUCGGGAAACCGGAGCUAAUACCGGAUAAUAUAUUGAACCGCAUGGUUCAAUAGUGAAAGACGGUUUUGCUGUCACUUAUAGAUGGAUCCGCGCCGCAUUAGCUAGUUGGUAAGGUAACGGCUUACCAAGGCAACGAUGCGUAGCCGACCUGAGAGGGUGAUCAGCCACACUGGAACUGAGACACGGUCCAGACUCCUACGGGAGGCAGCAGUAGGGAAUCUUCCGCAAUGGGCGAAAGCUUGACGGAGCAACGCCGCGUGAGUGAUGAAGGUCUUCGGAUCGUAAAACUCUGUUAUUAGGGAAGAACAAAUGUGUAAGUAACUAUGCACGUCUUGACGGUACCUAAUCAGAAAGCCACGGCUAACUACGUG
rnacentral:rRNA from 1 species